UACGUAGGGGGCGAGCGUUGCUCGGAAUUACUGGGCGUAAAGGGAGUGCAGGCGGCCGGUUAAGUCGAAGAUGAAAUCCCGAGGCUCAACUUCGGAAUGGUCUUCGAUACUGAUCGGCUUGAGGCUGGUUGAGGAGAGCGGAAUUCCCGGUGGAGCGGUGAAAUGCGUAGAUAUCGGGAGGAACACCAGAGGCGAAGGCGGCUCUCUAAACUAGUCCUGACGCUGAGACUCGAAAGCUAGGGGAGCAAACGGG
rnacentral:rRNA from 1 species